rnacentral:tRNA from 1 species
GGCCUAGUAGCCCAGCUGGUAGAGCGUGCGUUAUACAAAAGUGUAGACAUGGUCUAUACGUGGGUUCCACUCCCACCGAGACCA